UAAGAGCACGUGGUGGAUGCCUUGGCAAUGAUAGGCGACGAAGGACGUGAUAGCCUGCGAUAAGCCUCGGGGAGCUGGCAAACAAGCUUUGAUCCGAGGAUUUCUGAAUGGGGCAACCCACGGCUUAGGCCGUAUCCCGCAAGGGAGGCUAACGCAGGGAACUGAAACAUCUAAGUACCUGCAGGAAAAGAAAUCAACCG
rnacentral:rRNA from 1 species